CAAUGGGCGAAAGCCUGASSCAGCCAUGCCGCGUGAAUGAUGAAGGUCUUAGGAUUGUAAAAUUCUUUCACCGGGGAAGAUAAUGACGGUACCCGGAGAAGAAGCCCCGGCUAACUUCGUGCCAGCAGCCGCGGUAAUACGAAGGGGGCUAGCGUUGCUCGGAAUUACUGGGCGUAAAGGGCGCGUAGGCGGAUGUUUAAGUCGGGGGUGAAAGCCCGGGGCUCAACCUCGGAAUUGCCUUMGAUACUGGACAUCUUGAGUACGGGAGAGGUGAGUGGAACUCCGAGUGUAGAGGUGAAAUUCGUAGAUAUUCGGAAGAACACCAGUGGCGAAGGCGACUCACUGGCCCGUUACUGACGCUGAGGCGCGAAAGCGUGGGGAGCAAACAGGAUUAGAUACCCUGGUAGUCCACGCCGUAAACGAUGAGUGCUAGYYGUCGGCAUGCAUGCAUGUCSGUGACGCAGCUAACGCAUUAAGCACUCCGCCUGG
rnacentral:rRNA from 1 species